rnacentral:ncRNA from 2 species
AUGGGUAAGUCACACUUAGCCCUGAAACCUACGUCCGUCGCGGAUAGGGUUUCCUGGCCGCAACCUUGAGUUGCCAGGGUGCAGAAAGAAAUGCCUGCAUCUCCCGAAUCUGGAAAGGUGUCACGGUGCCACAAUU